UACAUUGAUUUGUUUUUUCUU
rnacentral:piRNA from 1 species